GUCAGUUUGAAAUGGUGCCAUCUACUAGAUAACCUUGAUAGGUUGAUGCCUAGUCUGUGCCUUCGAGAUAACAAACAUCUCUUACUUUCAUCUUUAAACUCUAUUGUUCCUAAUGGCAAAAAAUCAUCACACUCCAGUAUCGACGCGGAUUUUCAGAGCCAAUAUUUGGCAGAAUGCAUGUCAGACAGUUAUUAUGGGGCCACCUUCUUAAUUUAGGGAAAACUAGUCUUGCCUUCAUCAGUAGGAUAGAAUGGUGCAAUGUUC